rnacentral:rRNA from 1 species
GAUGAACGCUGGCGGCGUGCCUAAUACAUGCAAGUCGAGCGAACAGAUGAGGAGCUUGCUCCUCUGACGUUAGCGGCGGACGGGUGAGUAACACGUGGAUAACCUACCUAUAAGACUGGGAUAACUUCGGGAAACCGGAGCUAAUACCGGAUAAUAUAUUGAACCGCAUGGUUCAAUAGUGAAAGACGGUUUUGCUGUCACUUAUAGAUGGAUCCGCGCCGCAUUAGCUAGUUGGUAAGGUAACGGCUUACCAAGGCAACGAUGCGUAGCCGACCUGAGAGGGUGAUCUGCCACACUGGAACUGAGACACGGUCCAGACACCUACGGGAGGCAGCAGUAGGGAAUCUUCCGCAAUGGGCGAAAGCUUGACGGAGCAACGCCGCGUGAGUGAUGAAGGUCUUCGGAUCGUAAAACUCUGUUAUUAGGGAAGAACAAAUGUGUAAGUAACUAUGCACGUCUUGACGGUACCUAAUCAGAAAGCCACGGCUAACUACGUG